rnacentral:rRNA from 1 species
AACGAACGCUGGCGGCAGGCCUAACACAUGCAAGUCGAACGCUCCGCAAGGGGAGUGGCGCACGGGUGAGUAACACGUGGGAACCUACCUUCUGGUACGGAACAACCAAGGGAAACUCUGGCUGAUACCGUAUACGACCUCCGGGUGAAAGAUUGAUCGCCGGAAGAGGGGCCCGCGUCCGAUUAGGUAGUUGGUGAGGUAACGGCUCACCAAGCCUGCGAUCGGUAGCUGGUCUGAGAGGANGACCAGCCACACUGGGACUGAGACACGGCCCAGACUCCUACGGGAGGCAGCAGUGGGGAAUAUUGGACAAUGGGCGCAAGCCUGAUCCAGCCAUGCCGCGUGAGUGAUGAAGGCCUUCGGUUGUUAA